rnacentral:rRNA from 1 species
CAGGAUGAACGCUGGCGGCGUGCCUAACACAUGCUAGUCGAACGGUUAAACCGCCCUCGGGCGGACAUACAGUGGCGAACGGGUGAGUAACACGUGACCAACCUGCCCCGCGCUCCGGGACAACCGCUGGAAACGGCGGCUAAUACCGGAUACUCCGCGGCCCCCGCAUGGGGGCGGCGGGAAAGCCCCGACGGCGCGGGAUGGGGUCGCGGCCCAUUAGGUAGUAGGCGGGGUAGAGGCCCACCUAGCCGACGAUGGGUAGCCGGACUGAGAGGUCGAUCGGCCACAUUGGGACUGAGAUACGGCCCAGACUCCUACGGGAGGCAGCAGUGGGGAAUUUUGCGCAAUGGGGGAAACCCUGACGCAGCAACGCCGCGUGCGGGACGAAGGCCCUCGGGUCGUAAACCGCUUUCAGCAGGGAAGACCACGACGGUACCUGCAGAAGAAGCUCCGGCUAACUACGUGCCAGCAGCCGCGGUAAUACGUAGGGGGCGAGCGUUAUCCGGAUUCAUUGGGCGUAAAGCGCGCGUAGGCGGCCGCCUAAGCGGAACCUCUAACCCCGGGGCUCAACCUCGGGCCGGGUUCCGGACUGGGCGGCUCGAGUGCGGUAGAGGAGAGCGGAAUUCCCGGUGUAGCGGUGGAAUGCGCAGAUAUCGGGAAGAACACCGAUGGCGAAGGCAGCUCUCUGGGCCGUCACUGACGGCUGAGGCGCGAAAGCUGGGGGAGCGAACAGGAUUAGAUACCCUGGUAGUCCCAGCCGUAAACGAUGGAUACUAGGUGUGGGGGGGAUCCCCCCUCCGUGCCGCAGCCAACGCAUUAAGUAUCCCGCCUGGGGAGUACGGCCGCAAGGCUAAAACUCAAAGGAAUUGACGGGGGCCCGCACAAGCAGCGGAGCAUGUGGCUUAAUUCGAAGCAACGCGAAGAACCUUACCAGGGCUUGACAUGCGCCUGAAGCCGCGGAGACGCGGUGGCCGAGAGGAGGGCGCGCAGGUGGUGCAUGGCUGUCGUCAGCUCGUGUCGUGAGAUGUUGGGUUAAGUCCCGCAACGAGCGCAACCCCCGUCCCGUGUUGCCAGCAUUAGGUUGGGGACUCGCGGGAGACUGCCGGCGUCAAGCCGGAGGAAGGUGGGGACGACGUCAAGUCAUCAUGCCCCUUAUGCCCUGGGCUGCACACGUGCUACAAUGGCCGGUACAGAGGGUUGCCACCCCGCGAGGGGGAGCGGAUCCCGGAAAGCCGGCCCCAGUUCGGAUCGCAGGCUGCAACCCGCCUGCGUGAAGCCGGAGUUAAUAGUAAUCGCGGAUCAGCACGCCGCGGUGAAUAC